rnacentral:misc_RNA from 1 species
GAUGAAGAACGUAGCGAAAUGCGAUUAGUAAUGUGAAUUGCAGAAUUCAGUGAAUCAUCGAAUCUUUGAACGCACAUUGCGCCCGCCAGUAUUCUGGCGGGCAUGCCUGUUCGAGCGUCAUUUCAACCAUCAAGCCCCCGGCUUGUGUUGGGGACCUGCGGCUGCCGCAGGCCAUGAAAACCAGUGGCGGGCUCGCUAGUCACUCCGAGCGUAGUAAUACAUCUCGCUCAGGGCGUGCUGCGGGUUCCGGCCGUUAAAAAGCCUUAUUUACCCAAGGUUGACCUCGGAUCAGGUAGGAAGACCCGCUGAACUUAAGCAUAUCAAUAAGCGGAGGA